CAGUGGUCUGCUACCACACAAGUUACUGUCUAGCCCAUGCCAUAAUAAUAUCUCAUAGCCCAAAUACCGAGUAUAGUAUCACUAUCAAACUCAACAUAGCGUGCUGAUUGUGGUCAAAUGCAAUGAUCAAACAGAUCAUGAUAAUACUGUCAUAAUGUCUAAAAUACAGUUAUAGUCUACACUCUCUGUAGUUGUUUAUUGAUCUUCAGAAAAAUAUCAAAUAUAUAUAUAUCUCCAUUUACUCUACUAACAGGUAUCAAAGUACCGUAAUUAUCUCAACUAUAUCAAUAGUUCAUCUCACAGAUUAAAUAAUAUAAUAUGGAUAUAGAAAUUAGUCCGUCAAUUUUGACAACACGAAACUCACCUAUAACGCAAGUCCAAGAAAAUGAACGGUAAACGAGAUAGCAGCUACAACACUCUAAAAUAACUCGAAAAUUCCUCAUCAAGAUUACGCGAAAUCCGCUUCUAAAAUGUAUAAAAAAAAUCAGUUUCUAACUCUCAAUUUCUACCAAAUAUUUAGCAAAAAAAUCUAAACGAGAAAUAAUAAUAUUGUGAUACUAACU
rnacentral:lncRNA from 1 species